rnacentral:rRNA from 1 species
AGUGGGGGGGCUAAGGUAGCAGUAGUUUUCAUCAUAGUCCAUCAGGAUACUCUCUUGAUGUGUACUGGGUGUUAACCUCCUUUUUUUCUGGUACUUGCUAUCCAGCAAUGGGUAGUUUUGUCCAGAUAGUUUACUUUGAAAAAAUUAGAGUGUUCAAAGCAGGCAUAAUUGGCAUCAUGAAUACAUUAGCAUGGGAUAAUAGAAUAUGACAUUGGUCUUAUUUUGUUGGUUUCUAAGGCCAAAGUAAUGAUUGAUAGGGAUAGUUGGGGCCGCUCGUAUUGAGUUGUCAGAGGUGAAAUUCUAGGAUUUACUCAAGACGAACUAAUGCGAAAGCAUUCGGCAAGGAUGUUUUCAUUAAUCAAGAACGAAAGUUGGGGGAUCGAAGAUGAUCAGAUACCGUCGUAGUCUCAACCAUAAACUAUGUCAACCGAGGAUCCGGUAGCGUUACAUGGAUGACUUCCGGCACUCUGUGAGAAAUCAUAAGUAUUUGGAUUUCGGGGGGAG